rnacentral:lncRNA from 1 species
UUCUUGAUGCUUGGGCUUCCCCUUUGAAAUUUGUGGAAUUGAUGAGAAGAUGAAAUCUUAGUGAGGUGAAGUGGAUCUUAGUGAGGAAGUGUGAAUCUUGGUGAGGUGGGAAGAAAAUAUGAGAAGGAAGGAAUUGUGGUGAGGUGAGGUUUUGGUGAAGAGGGAAGAGAAGAGAGGGAUCUGAUGGGAUUUUGGUGUGUGGCGAAAUUGAGGUUCAGAGAGAGAGAGAAUGGGUUCUAAUGGUUAAUUAAGUGAAGGCCACGUGUCAAGUGGCUAAUGGAUUAGAGGGGGGAGGGCUGCACGUGCACAGUAUAAUCUGAGUGGAAGAGAAUGAAAAGCUAGGUGCACACGUGCUGCACCAUUCCUUGAUUAAUCAAGUUAAUCAAUCAUUUGAUUAAUUAGCCUAAUUAAUAAGCAUGCGUUCUUUUCGCUAAAACUUUUCACUUUUUUUCCAUGCACUUCCGCACAUAUUAUCAGACGCACUUGAAUCUCGCUCUCUUGCUGCUUUGACUACGGUUGACCCGCAUUGGCUAUUUUGUCUUCUUUUUUUGUCGGAAACUCCAAAUUGUUCCAUUUUUGCACCACUUAUUCCGAAAUUCACAGCUC